CUUAAACUGAAAAUUGUUUCAUAUUUCAUCCUAUGUUUGAUGAUAUCCUUAAAGAAAGGUUAAACAGUUAGAAAGAACUGUGUUUCUGGAACUAGUUAAGAUGAUUCGAAAACAUAUCCAAUAAAGAUGUGAGUUGUCAACUUGGAAUCGAUAUCCGUUGGAAAAGAUAUUUUCAGUUCCUAACAGAAAAAAUGCUCUAUUUUUCUAAAGCUUUUGUAAAUGGUUCUUUUUGGGUCUUAAGGGAUAAACAACAUUCCACAAAUUUUAAUUGGCCAAAGGACAUUGAGGAACUACCAAGAAAACUUCCCACAUAAUAUUUACACCACACCACAUUAAUAUGAGACUUCAGACAUGUGAAAUUAUGAUUUUUCCUUAAUAAAUAUGUAUUAAAUUAUAAUUGAUAAUUGUCACAUAAAGGUUUAUAACCUGCUGCAUCGUAAACAUUGAUGCUGGUAAGUUUGACAGUUUUGUUUUUGUUUUCAACAAUGUGAGAGCUUCGUAAAGACGUGUUAAUUACAACCUUCUGCCUCGUUUAUUCGAAACUCGAGGGAAUAUUAAUAUUACGAAUUAUGGAGUGUUUGAAAUAUCAAAUGGUUCGAAAUUUUUAAGAGAAAAGAUAUAAAACUUAUUGUGUGUUGAAUUUGAAAAUGAAUUAUUGAGUGUUGAUAAUAAAUUAGUGCCUGAAAUGCUUCCUCAUCACUUUCAUUUUGUAGACAGAAAUUUUGUAAGGUGUCGAAUGAGACUCUUGGUUCCAUAACUGACACCUCUGCCAAAGGUUCUGAUGUAUCAUCGUCAUCUUCAGUCUGUUAUUCUAUCGGCCGAGUAGUGUCGGAUUCUUACCAAAUAAAAAUAUUUCCCUCCCUUCACCACUUUCCAUUAGAUGUCGUCGGGUUCGCAAAGCAUUUUAUCAACCUCUUUUCCUGAUAUUCUUUUAUGAAACCGGAUUUCUUAAAACUGUUGAGAAUCAUUAGGGGUGUUAUAGCUCUUCACUCAAACCUCAUGAGUCUGGUUCGUUGUGAGAUAUGUAAAAUAUUCAUCAGAGUUGGUUAAGAAUAUUGAAUUGGACACAAACGGUCAAAAAUUUUCUUUUACUCUGAACUGAUGUUUCUAAUAAGCUUCCAUGUUUUUUUUUCUAAUUCAGAAUUUGCAUCGGACUAAAGUCUUCUUUCAUAUUUUGCGUCUCUCCUAUUAUAAUAUUUUAUUCACACAAUUUUUAUUGAUAAGUUACAUGAUGGUCUUUCACGAUUUUGUUUCAAUCUUUUCCCAUUUGCUCAAAACGUCUUAAAAGAUAAAUUUUUCAUCAAUAUGUAUCUCAAGCCGAUCUUGUAAAAUAACAUCAGUGCACACCAUCAAAAUAAUUGCCGUACUUCUUAGG